rnacentral:misc_RNA from 13 species
AACGUUUCGAUCUUUAUUGAGAUCAUCUUCAGGGCCUGAGAUUUACAAACAUUGUUUAGGCUCUGAAGAUGAUCUCAAUAAAGAUCGAAUCG